UGUUAUAACGUAAAGGAGAAAAAAACAUGAUUUUGUUAUACAUUGUUUCACUUAAAAUUGCAGUUUCCAAAAACCUAUUGGUGAAGUGAAGACUUACUGCACAUAUAUGUAUGCAUAUGUAAUAUGCAAAACUGUACAUGUAUCUUUAUAAAUGUAUAUGUACACCAAUAUAUAUACACAUAUAUAGUUGAACCACUUGAAAUUGUCCACACUUCACCAUUUUUGACCUACAAAAAUGGCACCUUUAUAUGGCUCAACAAUGUAGACCCUAUAAGAUAUAGGUAGUGAUAGACACAGCUAGAAAGAUGAACUAGAGAGCCAUUGUGAAUGUCCAGCGGCCUAGAUUACAGCAGGAUGUAUUGUAAAGAGGUGACGAAGGGUCAUACAGUCAGACAGACACGGGGUUUUUCUGGUGCUGCUGUGCAAACCUGGGCAAGUCCUGCCUGAAAACGGGGAUGAGGGUAAUAACACUUACAUUGAAAGAUUACUGAAAAGAUUAAAUAAGAUAAUGUAUGUAAAGUUUCUGGCACAUAGAGCUAUCAUCAUUCCUUAAAUCAGUGGAUAAUAGGAGUUGUUGAAGAUCUUGGAGCAGGCCGUUGGUGUACUGGUAUGUUGGUAUGGCUGGAUUUUAGGAAGCUGGAUCUUGUGGCAUCGAUGAAUGGUUGAUUGGAGGGUGUUAGGGCAACAGUAAACAACAAUGAAGAUGUUAACAGAGGUGGGGUAUAAUUAGGGCCUGAACAUAGGAUGGUGUCAGUGGGAAUGGAAAAGAAGGAAUGGGCUGGGCAUGGUGGCUCACGCCUGUAAUCCCAGCACUUUGGGAGGCCGAGGUGGGUGGAUCACUUGAGGUCAGGAGUUCAAGACCAGCCUGGCCAACGUGGGGAAACCUUGUCUCUACUAAAAAUACAAAAAUUAGCCAGGUGUGGUGGCACAGUCCUGUAAUCCCAGCUACUCAGGAGGCUGAGGCAGGAGAAUCAUUUGAACCUGGAAGGCGGAGGUUGCAAUGGGCCGAGAUCACGUCACUGCACUUGAGCCUGGGCCACAGAGCAAGACUCUAUCUCAAAAAAAAAAAAAAAAAAAAAAAAAAAAAGAAGGAAUGGGUUGGAGACAGAGAUUUCUUUAACAGCUUUGUUGAGGUAUAUUGACAUAUCGUAAACUGCCCAUAUUUAAGGUAUAUAUUUGCUAAGUUUUGACAUAUGUAUACACCUGUGAAAUCAUCAUCACAAUCAAGAUGGCAAACAUAUCCCUUAGCCCCCCAAAUUUCUUCAUUCCCUUUUAUAAUCCCUCCCUCCCUUCCCCAGUCCAGGCAAUCAUCGACCUGCUUUCUGUCACUGCAGACUAGUUAGCAAUUACAAGAAUUCUAUAAUAUAUACUCUUUUCUAGUCUUUUUUUUUUUUUUUUUUUUGAGACGGAUUCUUGCUCUGUCACCCAGGCUGGAGUGCAGCGGCGCGAUCUCAGCUCACUG
rnacentral:lncRNA from 1 species